AAAAAUAAAGCACUAUUAUCUUCUAUCUUCUCGCCUGAACCACUCACGCUUUUCCUCUUCCUCGGUCGUGAGACUACCUAUUCAUUUCCGCACUCUUUUCUUCUUGGUUCGGCCGCCGCUGUCGGAGAUAUACGAGGUACAAUCUUACUUUCUUCACCAUCCCAUUUGACCUCGUACCCAAUUUCUCAAUUUCAAACCUUAACCCUAAUUCUUCUUCCACUUCCCAUAUUUUCACUCCUUUCACCAUCUCAACGUCACCUACUAUUCCCACCACUGCAAACCUAUUUUGCAGUCUUCCCAGUAAAGUACUUUGAUAUUCUCCUUAACAUAUCAUUUGUUGAAAUUGAAGGAUUAUUGUAA